rnacentral:lncRNA from 1 species
UAGUAAAUAAGCCAUAUUUUUUAUGCCAGGAUUCAAUGUAUAAUACAAUGGACAGUAAUAUUGCAAUAUAAUAACAACAAAUUUUUUGUUCGCAUUAAUUUUGGAUGUCAGCAUGUCCUCCUUUUAUUCAAAAUAUUGAUACGUAACAAAAUUUCAGUAGAUUUGAUACCUCAUGCUGACUUAUACAACAAAAUUAUUUGACUGCAUCGACCAAAAACUGACCUGC